rnacentral:rRNA from 1 species
GACAGAGGAGGCAAGCGUUGUCCGGAUUAACUGGGCGUAAAGCGUCCGCAGGUGGCACGGUCAGUGGGGUGUGAAAGCCGGUGGCUUAACCGCCGGAGGCCAUCCCAAACUGCCGCGCUGGAGUCGGGCAGAGGGUGCCGGAAUUGCCGGUGUAGCGGUGAAAUGCGUAGAUAUCGGGAGGAACACCUGUGGCGAAAGCGGCGCACUGGACCAUAACUGACGCUGAUGCGCGAAAGCUAGGGGAGCAAACAGG